GACGAACGCUGGCGGCGUGCUUAACACAUGCAAGUCGAACGGGAUUUAGUAGACAGAAGCCUCGGCUAAAGAUUACUAAUGAGAGUGGCGAACGGGUGAGUAACGCGUGAGCAACCUGCCUAUGACAGUGGGAUAGCCUCGGGAAACCGGGAUUAAUACCGCAUAAAAUCGUAGAAACACAUGUUUUAACGGUCAAAGAUUUAUUGGUCAUAGAUGGGCUCGCGUCUGAUUAGCUAGUUGGUGAGAUAACAGCCCACCAAGGCGACGAUCAGUAGCCGGUCUGAGAGGAUGAACGGCCACAUUGGAACUGAGACACGGUCCAAACUCCUACGGGAGGCAGCAGUGGGGAAUAUUGCACAAUGGGGGAAACCCUGAUGCAGCGACGCCGCGUGAACGAAGAAGGUAUUCGUAUCGUAAAGUUCUGUCCUAUGGGAAGAUAAUGACAGUACCAUAGAAGAAAGCUCCGGCUAAAUACGUG
rnacentral:rRNA from 1 species